UACGUAGGGUGCGAGCGUUGUCCGGAUUUAUUGGGCGUAAAGAGCUCGUAGGCGGUUUGUCGCGUCGUCCGUGAAAACUCACAGCUUAACUGUGAGCUUGCGGUCGAUACGGGCAGGCUAGAGUUCGGUAGGGGAGACUGGAAUUCCUGGUGUAGCGGUGAAAUGCGCAGAUAUCAGGAGGAACACCGGUGGCGAAGGCGGGUCUCUGGGCCGAUACUGACGCUGAUGACACGAAAGCGUGGGGAGCAAACAGGAUUAGAUACCCGUGGUCAGU
rnacentral:rRNA from 1 species